rnacentral:lncRNA from 1 species
UCAUUUCCCUCCAAGGCCUGAGAUACAAUUAUUAUAAUCUUGAAUUCUGAGACAGCAUGAAGCUGUAGCAUUCCUGUGCAGCCAAGGCAGCUGGAAAUUAUUUGAUGGCCCCAGUCCAGUUGCUAUUGGAUGCAACUAAUUGCAAACAGCAUGUGGGACUUUGGACUCCUUCCACUGGCAUUCUGUGCAAAAGUGUUAGCGAGAGCUGUUAAUGUGUAUCCAACAUGUGCUCUGCCACAAAACGCAAAAUAAAAUGAUAGAAGAGGACAGGCCUUUGGCCUGGUUGUGCACUGCUAUCGUCUGAACUUUUCCCCCUGAAGAAAGUGUUAGUCACCAGAUGCAUUGACUCCAGAUGCCUUGAUUCUGUGAAGCAUCAUGGAUACUCAUUCAAACAACCUGAGUUCUGAUCCUGUUUCCUUUAAUAAUUUCUCUCCUCCGUGGGAUUGUCUUCUUACUUUCUUCUGCUGAUAAAUUGGUGAAGGUUUUGAAGAUAACACACAGGGGUGAAUUGCACUGUGAACAGUGUGGAAGCAAUGAAGAAUUCUUAGAAGCCUUACAGAUGUUUGGUGUUCAACUUCCAGAAGCCCCAGGAAAUAUGGCCACUGAUGUAAUGGCAGAGAGAGAGAGAGAGAGAGAGAGAGAGAGAGAGAGCAUGCAUCCUGCAAAGUUAUUGACAAGUUAAUGCGUUCUCGACAAAAAAUAUAUAUUGCAAAGUUUGUAAAGGUUACUUGCGUGGUCUACAAUACUCAGAAUCCCCAGCCAGCAUUCUGUUAUUUGUAAAUUGUUCCAUUUUCCUGAGAACCUCUUCUGGUUUUGUUUGUUUUGUUGACUAAUAAAUAUGUUCGAACACCUCCA